rnacentral:piRNA from 1 species
UCCUGGAGGCACCAGCGGAGUCACUGA